AUUGAACGCUGGCGGAAUGCUUUACACAUGCAAGUCGAGCGGCAGCACGGGGGCAACCCUGGUGGCGAGCGGCGAACGGGUGAGUAAUACAUCGGAACAUACCCAGUCGUGGGGGAUAACACUUCGAAAGAAGUGCUAAUACCGCAUACGUCCUGAGGGAGAAAGCGGGGGAUCGCAAGACCUCGCGCGAUUGGAGUGGCCGAUGUCAGAUUAGCUAGUUGGUGGGGUAAAGGCCUACCAAGGCAACGAUCUGUAGCUGGUCUGAGAGGAUGAUCAGCCACACUGGGACUGAGACACGGCCCAGACUCCUACGGGAGGCAGCAGUGGGGAAUUUUGGACAAUGGGGGCAACCCUGAUCCAGCCAUUCCGCGUGAGUGAAGAAGGCCUUCGGGUUGUAAAGCUCUUUCGGCAGGAACGAAACGGCGAGCUCUAACAUAGCUUGCUAAUGACGGUACCUGAAGAAGAAGCACCGGCUAACUACGUG
rnacentral:rRNA from 1 species